CUGUGACAUAACCAGAAUCCCUCUUCCCACUCACAGAAGAUCCUGAAGAUAAACAUGAUAGAAACUACAUCAGGACUGUGGCACAGAAAAGGGUUCAGAACUGAAACUUCAUCAGACAUCUCAGAUUAUUCCCUAAGCUAGCAUGGCAUUGCAUUGUGCUUCCAAACCCUGAUGUUUUCAUGCUUAGAGAUGGGAGUAUCACACCAACAUUGGCCCAAGAAGAAAACAGGCUUACAAGACUGUGGUCUCUGCUCUCCAAGAGGUCCCCAAACUCUCCAAGCUGAACCACGGCAGAGUGACAGGCCAAGGACUGUAUGAGAUGCCUUUUCCACUGUCUCCUGGGAAAGUGAACUUUUCAGAGCACUGGCAGAGACACCAGCAGACACCGUAUCUGUUCUGGACUGCAAACAGAGGAGGAACUGGCUGCUUCACUCUCACUGAACAGCUGUCACAAGUCAAAACAAACCUGCUUGUGGUCUGAGUCAAA